rnacentral:rRNA from 1 species
UACGGAGGUGGCAAGCGUUGCUCGGAAUCACUGGGCGUAAAGGGCGCGUAGGCGGGGAGGUAAGUCGGGUGUGAAAUCCCUCGGCCCAACCGAGGAACUGCGCCCGAGACUGCUUCUCUUGAGUCCCGGAGAGGAAGGUGGAAUUCCCGGUGUAGCGGUGAAAUGUGUAGAGAUCGGGAGGAACACCGGUGGCGAAGGCGGCCUCUGGACGGUGACUGACGCUGAGGCGCGAAAGCGUGGGGAGCAAACGGG